UACGUAGGGGGCAAGCGUUGUCCGGAUUUAUUGGGCGUAAAGAGCGUGUAGGCGGCUAGGUAGGUCCGUUGUGAAAACUCGAGGCUCAACCUCGAGACGCCGAUGGAAACCAUCUGGCUAGAGUCCGGAAGAGGAGAGUGGAAUUCCUGGUGUAGCGGUGAAAUGCGCAGAUAUCAGGAGGAACACCGGUGGCGAAGGCGGGUCUCUGGGCCGAUACUGACGCUGAGGAGCGAAAGCGUGGGGAGCGAACAGG
rnacentral:rRNA from 1 species